ensembl:lncRNA
UUUAAAGUUUGAAUGGUGGCUCUAUGUCAAUGUAUGUGGAAGUAGAUACAGUUUAAAGAGGAUGAAGUUGAAUGAGAAUUUGAAGGGUCUCCCCAUUGAAAUACAUUAUAAAUUUUUGUUGAAAAAAGUUGAAUAAAAUUAAAAAUAUAAAUGUUAAAAAUGAGAAAAAUAGAAGCAAUGUUGUCCAAAAGAAUAGGAAUCUAACGGUGUUUGAAUGGUUUUUCUAAGUUGAACGGUUUUGAAGGAGUUGGCUUUCAAAAAACGUACGGAAUAGAUAAUAAUAAUAAAAUAUAACUAGAAAGUGCAUUUUCUGAAGAAACUGCAGUGUGAAUGCUUGAAUCUGAAUGUAUGCACUGAAAUGAAUUAAUUGCUGAAUUUUGAGUUAAAAAUAUUGAAUGAGAUUAAAAAAAAACAAAAAAACCCCCGAAUUUAACCUGAAAACAAAGGUGCUGAACUGCUAAAAGCUGAAGGUUACACAGAAGAAGGAGUUGGAAAAAAAACUGAAAAUGUUUUAAAUGUCAAUUAGAAAACCCUAAGAAAUGAGAAAAGAACAUUUAGAGUCAGAAAACAUCUGAAUGAAUAUCAAAAGGUCAUAUUCUUUGAAUCACUGAAUGACUCAAAUGUGAUCCCUCCACUUUGAUCCACACAGUUUAAAAAGUUUAAAUGCCUGAGCUUUGAAAGAUACGGUGUUGGAAAGAGAACAAUAAUGGCGACAAUUUGAGGGUAAAAUGAUGGCUGUAACACUGUGGACACAGCAGCAGUUGAAAGAGAAGUUCUUAAGAUGAAUCUUGGUACAGUGGCAGGCAGAGCUCGUUAAGCAGGCAGGUGUGAGCCUGGUUGCUAUAGUGACCGCACCCAAUGGCUCCAUACACACGUACACAGACAUGCGCCUCACUUUUGCUGCUUAAAAUGAACAGAAAAGUCAGGCCGAAACAAAUCGUUCCCAAAUGAAAAGUAAAAGUCGUAUUGACAAAAUUCUUUCACCGUGAGCGACAGCAGCUUCUAGUCUACUGAAUUCUCAGUUUUCAUGCCUGUGGAGUUUAUUAUAUGGACGUGGUGACAGUGGAAAGACACCAUGCUCUUCUGAUUUUCAAACGAACCUUCUGAGCCAUUUUAACAUUAGAGUCUAUGGAAGAGUUGGAGGGAGGAGGCUGUGCAUUGGUGACAUUUAUGAAAGAACCAUAACACCUAGUACAAUAGUAAACACAUUGGAUGAAAGAGGACAGCCAUGGCUACGUUUUGAGGGUAAAAUCAUACCUGUAGAGCAAACGCUGCGGACACAGCAGCAGUUUUAAAAAAGAUUUUAAGAUUAAUUUUUUUGCUCCUCUCACUCUAGCAGUUGAGCUGCCUCACUCUAGCCCCAACAUUCCGUCCC